GGGGAUGAUCGGCCUAGACACUCGGCCCGUUCCAUCCGCAGCAACGUGGAGCACUCCCGCACUCUCCUGAAACGUCGGGAAACACAUAAAUGCGAACAGCGUUUAUUCAAAAGCAGUAGCUCUUGUCUCUCCGUAUUUCGGAGCGACCAACUUUGCUUUCGCCCGGGCUUCGGCCUAAGCGACAUCGAAACUUCUGACGCCUGAUAGGAAGCUUUCGGUGUUAUACUUUUCAGACUAUAUUCCGCCUUUCCUCGCGGCGGAACGAACACAGAGGAUCGGAUGCCGGACAUUUUGUCUUUUUUGAGGACGGCAUCUCAAACGCCUUCGGGCGAUAAAACAGACUAGACGUUGUAGAUCGCGUUUGGACAUCCGUUUGCACGGCGGUUCGAUUCCGCCCAUCUCCACCC
rnacentral:tmRNA from 1 species